rnacentral:rRNA from 1 species
UGGGGAAUUUUGGACAAUGGGGGAAACCCUGAUCCAGCCAUCCCGCGUGUGCGAUGAAGGCCUUCGGGUUGUAAAGCACUUUUGGCAGGAAAGAAACGUCGCGGGUUAAUACCCCACGAAACUGACGGUACCUGCAGAAUAAGCACCGGCUAACUACGUGCCAGCAGCCGCGGUAAUACGUAGGGUGCAAGCGUUAAUCGGAAUUACUGGGCGUAAAGCGUGCGCAGGCGGUUCGGAAAGAAAGAUGUGAAAUCCCAGAGCUUAACUUUGGAACUGCAUUUUUAACUACCGGGCUAGAGUGUGUCAGAGGGAGGUGGAAUUCCGCGUGUAGCAGUGAAAUGCGUAGAUAUGCGGAGGAACACCGAUGGCGAAGGCAGCCUCCUGGGAUAACACUGACGCUCAUGCACGAAAGCGUGGGGAGCAAACAGGAUUAGAUACCCUGGUAGUCCACGCCCUAAACGAUGUCAACUAGCUGUUGGGGCCUUCGGGCCUUGGUAGCGCAGCUAACGCGUGAAGUUGACCGCCUGGGGAGUACGGUCGCAAGAUUAAAACUUAAAUGAAUUGAC